rnacentral:rRNA from 1 species
CUACGGGCGGCUGCAGUGAGGAAUUUUGCGCAAUGGGGGGAACCCUGACGCAGCAACGCCGUGUGAGUGAAGAAGGCCUUUGGGUCGUAAAGCUCUGUCAACUGGGAAGAAGUUACUAUGCGUAAAUAGAGUGUAGUAUUGACGGUACCAGUGGAGGAAGCGUCGGCUAACUCCGUGCCAGCAGCCGCGGUAACACGGGGGACGCAAGCGUUAUUCGGAAUUAUUGGGCGUAAAGGGCGCGUAGGCGGUCUUGUCGGUCAGGUGUGCAAGCCCGGGGCUCAACCCCGGACGUGCACUUGGAACAGCAAGACUUGAGUACGGGAGAGGAGAGCGGAAUUCCUGGUGUAGAGGUGAAAUUCGUAGAUAUCAGGAGGAACAACGAUGGCGAAGGCAGCUUUCUGGACCGAAACUGACGCUGAGGCGCGAAGGCGUGGGUAGCGAACGGGAUUAGAUACCCGCGUAGUC